rfam:Arabis alpina cultivar Pajares chromosome 5, whole genome shotgun sequence.
CUUACAGAGAUCUUUGGCAUUCUGUCCACCUCCUCUCUAGAUAUAUGUAUGUAAUUGUACGUAUCUUCGUUGUGUUUUUUUUAGGGGAGGUGGGCAUAAUUCCAAUAGAGAUCUGUUAG